ACGCACGCUGGCGGCGUUCUUAACACAUGCAAGUCGAACGGAAAGGCCCUGCUUUUGUGGGGUGCUCGAGUGGCGAACGGGUGAGUAACACGUGAGUAACCUGCCCUUGACUUUGGGAUAACUUCAGGAAACUGGGGCUAAUACCGGAUAGGAGCUCCUGCUGCAUGGUGGGGGUUGGAAAGUUUCGGCGGUUGGGGAUGGACUCGCGGCUUAUCAGCUUGUUGGUGGGGUAGUGGCUUACCAAGGCUUUGACGGGUAGCCGGCCUGAGAGGGUGACCGGCCACAUUGGGACUGAGAUACGGCCCAGACUCCUACGGGAGGCAGCAGUGGGGAAUAUUGCACAAUGGGCGGAAGCCUGAUGCAGCAACGCCGCGUGCGGGAUGACGGCCUUCGGGUUGUAAACCGCUUUCGCCUGUGACGAAGCGUGAGUGACGGUAAUGGGUAAAGAAGCACCGGCUAACUACGUG
rnacentral:rRNA from 1 species